CACAAUCUCGCGAGAUGAGACUUGGGACGUUUGGGCUUAGCAGGAGCCAAGGCGCCGAAUGUUGACGGCGUUGCGGGACGUUUAAGUAGUGAUUCCAAACUGAGGGCUGCCUAAUAAAGAGAAUCGGGACUGGGCGGUUCAAUUCUUUUUAAAACCCCUUAACCUUCCUGCUGUCAAUCAUGCCGACAACAACCGUUUUGAAACCUGUCUUAAAAAUGAAAGUAGAUGAAUUAUUUUUACGCUGGCUUAGCGAGACACCAACACAAUUGCUCCUCAACGAUUAUUUAAGACGAAUAAAAAAUGGAGAGAAAAUUCUGCCGGACGCUGAUGACUAUGGUACUAAGGAAAUACCAAGCAAAAGUACUUUGCAUUCAGCUCAUAAAGCGCUGGAUAACUUGUCACUGUCUCCUCAGUCUGCCCUCCCACCUGGUUCUUAUGGAAGCCCAAGGAGUGGACUUACUCCUAGAAAACGUCGAUCUAGUAGUGUAGGGGUGGUUCAUCCAAAGAAGGAAGAACCACUGACGCCUGCCUUAAGCCAAAACAUUCCAAAAUUUUACUUUCCUAAGGGAUGCCCAAAAGCUAAUCUUAAUAUUGAUGGCAUCAUUUCAAAAAUAGAGAAGACUUUUUCUGGCUUUCCUCUUGAAAGAGCAACUUUGGAAGAUAUGGGUAAAGUGGCCAAGGCUUGUGAAUGCCCACUCUAUUGGAAAGCACCAUUGUUUUAUGCAGCUGGUGGAGAGAGGACAGGAUACGUGUCUGUUCAUAAGUUCAUAGCCAUGUGGCGAAAGAUCUUGCAUACUUGCCAUGAUGAUGCUGCAAAAUUCAUGCAGCUUCUUGCAAAACCCGGAUGCAGUUAUUUGGAACAGGAAGACUUCAUUCCAUUUUUACAAGAUGUAGUGAACACUCAUCCACACUUGACAUUUUUAAGAGAAGCUUCAGAAUUUCAUUCCCGUUACAUUACCACAGUAGUUCAAAGGAUUUUCUAUCUGGUGAAUAGGUCAUGGUCUGGACGUAUCACAUGUUCCGAGCUCAGAAAAAGUAAUUUUUUACAGCAUGUUGCAUUACUGGAGGAGGAAGAUAUCAAUCAGUCGGCAGAUUACUUUUCUUAUGAACACUUUUAUGUUAUCUACUGUAAAUUCUGGGAGCUUGACACUGACCAUGACUUGUACAUUGAUGAAAACGACCUUGCCAAGCACAAUGAUCAUGCAAUAUCAAGUCAUGUAAUUCAAAGAAUAUUCUCAGGCACAGUAACACGAAGUCGAAAAGUACAUAAAGAAGGAAAGAUUAGUUAUGCUGAUUUUGUUUGGUUUCUGUUAUCUGAAGAAGACAAGAAGACUCAGACAAGCAUAGAGUACUGGUUUCGCUGCAUGGAUUUGGAUGGUGAUGGUGUAUUGUCUAUGUAUGAGCUGGAAUACUUCUAUGAAGAGCAGUGUCAGAAGAUGGAAAGCAUGGCAAUUGAACCCUUGCCUUUUGAGGAUUGCCUUUGUCAGAUGCUGGAUUUGGUCAAGCCACAAACUGAAGGCAAAAUUACUCUCCAUGACUUGAAGAAAUGCAAGCAAGCAAAUAUUUUCUUUGACACCUUCCUUAAUUUGGAAAAAUACCUGGACCAUGAGCAGAAAGACCCCUUCUCUGUAUUAAGGGUUGGAGAGAAUGAAGGGCAGGAGCUGUCAGACUGGGAGAAGUACGCCGCAGAAGAAUAUGCAGUCUUGGUAGCGGAGGAAGCAGCAAAUGAACAGUGGAAUGAUGGGCUUUUUUACUGGUGUCCUGUGUGGCCUGUCUGUUCCGACCUCCAGCCUACCUUGCCCUGAUACGUACUAUGUUCCCCAGCUCCAGUGGCAGCAACUAUGGAUAACCAGCAUGGAUAUGACGCUGAGCUGAAUCUUUUGGAUAUUCCAGUGGCAAGCGAGGAUAAAUGUUCAUCUGAUAAAAGGCCUUUCUUUGACUUGCCGUCCCAUUCACCAGAAGCUGACUUGGAAGAGUAUGAGUAUGAAGAUGACUUUGAAUAAGUGUGGAACAUUGAAGGAACAUUUCCCUGCAGCUGGACUGCUGUGUUAUCUUUUGUGAACUGUAGUAAUAAGAACAAGUUACAGGACAACUGCAGCAGCAAGGCUACAUGUUUUUGUAUACUGUACACAUUUAAUUUAUUGCCAAAAUAAUUAUUUAUUACUGUUUUGCAGUGUGAUUUACUAUCAGUAAUGUGUUACUAUAAUAGGGCUGUAGUUGUGUUCCUGUUGUGCAUUUUGAUAUUUUCAAGGCACCACUGUUUAUAGAUGUAUUCCAUUAGUGCAGUGCUGGUCUUUCAUGGUAUCUGUAAUCAUAAUGAACUCUCUGGGGAAACUGCCUUAUUAUGUGCCGCAGCCAGUAAGAAAGCAGUCUGGCACGCAAUAACAUUUUCUCAGAAAAUCCCUUAGCAUUGGUGUCCAUGUCAAUCUCCAUUGGUAAAAUAUUGAAAUCAUAUAAGUGCCAGAAACUGCAGGAAGAAGGCAAUGUCUGUCAAUUAUGCAAUUUAAAAAUUUACUGCCAGCAACCAAUGCAAAGGCAUUUUCUGACAUUUUGACACCCAAGCUGGAGGAGAUUAAGCGCGGGCAACAACGCACCAUGUGCCUUUGCCCUUCUGAGCACAGCAGUCCUAGUGGCAAUCUACUAAGGUGUAAGUGUAACUGGUUUAAUGAUAGAAUAUAAUAUUCAGGUUUAGUUGUCACAUUCCAUAACUCACAAAUAACGCCAAUGGUAAGCCUUAAAUAUAGCCUUCUCCACCAGGUAACAUGUUUGUCUCAAAUAGUUUUUUGUUUUUCUAAAUGUACAUAAUGUAAAUUGCGAUUUUCAGCAUUUUAUAACAAUUAAAGUUUCAUUUGCAGGGGGAAAUAUUGUAAAUGUUUGCUGUGUAUGAAAAAAAGAAAAUGUAAAAUUUAAAGAAUUAAAAUUCUAUAUUGUAUUUGUGAAUAAAAUAUUUUUUGCACAAA